rnacentral:rRNA from 1 species
GGUCAAGUGAAGAAGCGCAUACGGUGGAUGCCUUGGCAGUCAGAGGCGAUGAAAGACGUGGUAGCCUGCGAAAAGCUUCGGGGAGUCGGCAAACAGACUUUGAUCCGGAGAUCUCUGAAUGGGGGAACCCACCUAGGAUAACCUAGGUAUCUUGUACUGAAUCCAUAGGUGCAAGAGGCGAACCAGGGGAACUGAAACAUCUAAGUACCCUGAGGAAAAGAAAUCAACCGAGAUUCCCUUAGUAGUGGCGAGCGAACGGGGAUUAGCCCUUAAGCUUCAUUGAUUUUAGCGGAACGCUCUGGAAAGUGCGGCCAUAGUGGGUGAUAGCCCCGUACGCGAAAGGAUCUUUGAAGUGAAAUCGAGUAGGACGGAGCACGAGAAACUUUGUCUGAACAUGGGGGGACCAUCCUCCAAGGCUAAAUACUACUGACUGACCGAUAGUGAACCAGUACCGUGAGGGAAAGGCGAAAAGAACCCCGGAGAGGGGAGUGAAAUAGAACCUGAAACCGUAUGCGUACAAGCAGUGGGAGCCUACUUGUUAGGUGACUGCGUACCUUUUGUAUAAUGGGUCAGCGACUUAUAUUCAGUGGCAAGCUUAACCGUAUAGGGUAGGCGUAGCGAAAGCGAGUCUUAAUAGGGCGUUUAGUCGCUGGGUAUAGACCCGAAACCGGGCGAUCUAUCCAUGAGCAGGUUGAAGGUUAGGUAACACUGACUGGAGGACCGAACCCACUCCCGUUGAAAAGGUAGGGGAUGACUUGUGGAUCGGAGUGAAAGGCUAAUCAAGCUCGGAGAUAGCUGGUUCUCCUCGAAAGCUAUUUAGGUAGCGCCUCAUGUAUCACUCUGGGGGGUAGAGCACUGUUUCGGCUAGGGGGUCAUCCCGACUUACCAAACCGAUGCAAACUCCGAAUACCCAGAAGUGCCGAGCAUGGGAGACACACGGCGGGUGCUAACGUCCGUCGUGAAAAGGGAAACAACCCAGACCGCCAGCUAAGGUCCCAAAGUUGUGGUUAAGUGGUAAACGAUGUGGGAAGGCUUAGACAGCUAGGAGGUUGGCUUAGAAGCAGCCAUCCUUUAAAGAAAGCGUAAUAGCUCACUAGUCGAGUCGGCCUGCGCGGAAGAUGUAACGGGGCUCAAACCACACACCGAAGCUGCGGGUGUCACGUAAGUGACGCGGUAGAGGAGCGUUCUGUAAGCCUGUGAAGGUGAGUUGAGAAGCUUGCUGGAGGUAUCAGAAGUGCGAAUGCUGACAUGAGUAACGACAAUGGGUGUGAAAAACACCCACGCCGAAAGACCAAGGGUUCCUGCGCAACGUUAAUCGACGCAGGGUUAGUCGGUUCCUAAGGCGAGGCUGAAAAGCGUAGUCGAUGGGAAACAGGUUAAUAUUCCUGUACUUCUGGUUACUGCGAUGGAGGGACGGAGAAGGCUAGGCCAGCUUGGCGUUGGUUGUCCAAGUUUAAGGUGGUAGGCUGAAAUCUUAGGUAAAUCCGGGGUUUCAAGGCCGAGAGCUGAUGACGAGUCGUCUUUUAGAUGACGAAGUGGUUGAUGCCAUGCUUCCAAGAAAAGCUUCUAAGCUUCAGGUAACCAGGAACCGUACCCCAAACCGACACAGGUGGUCGGGUAGAGAAUACCAAGGCGCUUGAGAGAACUCGGGUGAAGGAACUAGGCAAAAUGGCACCGUAACUUCGGGAGAAGGUGCGCCGGCUAGGGUGAAGGAUUUACUCCGUAAGCUCUGGCUGGUCGAAGAUACCAGGCCGCUGCGACUGUUUAUUAAAAACACAGCACUCUGCAAACACGAAAGUGGACGUAUAGGGUGUGACGCCUGCCCGGUGCCGGAAGGUUAAUUGAUGGGGUUAGCGCAAGCGAAGCUCUUGAUCGAAGCCCCGGUAAACGGCGGCCGUAACUAUAACGGUCCUAAGGUAGCGAAAUUCCUUGUCGGGUAAGUUCCGACCUGCACGAAUGGCGUAACGAUGGCGGCGCUGUCUCCACCCGAGACUCAGUGAAAUUGAAAUCGCUGUGAAGAUGC